CCUACGGGUGGCUGCAGUGAGGAAUAUUGGUCAAUGGCCGAGAGGCUUAACCAGCCAAGUCGCGUGAGGGAAGAAUGUCCUAUGGAUUGUAAACCUCUUUUGUCAGGGAGCAAAGUCACCCACGUGUGGGUGUUGGAGAGUACCUGAAGAAAAAGCAUCGGCUAACUCCGUGCCAGCAGCCGCGGUAAUACGGAAGGUCCGGGCGUUCACCGGAUUUAUUGGGUUUAAAGGGAGCGUAGGCCGCAUGUCAAGCGUGCUGUGAAAUGUCCGGGCACAACCCGGGCCGUGCAGCGCGAACUGGCGUGCUUGAGUCCGCGGAAAGCAGGCGGAAUGCGUGGUGUAGCGGUGAAAUGCAUAGAUAUCACACAGAACACCGAUUGCGAAGGCAUCUCACGAAUCCGCGAUUGACGCUGAUGCACGAAAGCGUGGGUAUCAAACAGGAUUAGAUACCCGAGUAGUC
rnacentral:rRNA from 1 species